rnacentral:rRNA from 1 species
GUGAGUAGUUCAGAGUUUGAUCCUGGCUCAGGAUGAACGCUGGCGGCGUGCUUAACACAUGCAAGUCGAACGAAGCACUUACCAAGGAUUCUUUCGGGAUGACUAAUAAGUGACUGAGUGGCGGACGGGUGAGUAACGCGUGGGUAACCUACCUCAUACAGGGGGAUAACAGUUAGAAAUGACUGCUAAUACCGUAUAAGCGCACAGUACUGCAUGGUACAGUGUGAAAAAACUCCGGUGGUAUGAGAUGGACCCGCGUCUGAUUAGCUAGUUGGUAAGGUAAUGGCUUACCAAGGCGACGAUCAGUAGCCGGCUUGAGAGAGUGAACGGCCACAUUGGAACUGAGACACGGUCCAA